UUUGUGAAGAGAUCAGCGAUGGACCGACACCGUAAACUGUUGGAUGUGGUUUUUAAAUCUGAGACGAAGCUGAGAGGAGAAGACAUCUGACCAAGAGGGCAGGCAGGACGAAAACAAGAUGAUGUCACAACCCCAGUUGAUGCUGUUAGUCAGUGUUACCUUCAGAUAUCCGAAGAGUGAUUGUUGGUGAAGAGGAGCAGCAGGAGUGGAGCUCCAGUCUGGACCAG